UAAGACGAGCCUCACAAACGUUAUUCGGAAUUACUGGGCUUAAAGGGUGCGUAGGCGGCGUAGAAAGUUGGGUGUGAAAUCCCUCAGCUUAACUGAGGAAGGGCGCCCAAAACUACUAUGCUCGAGGGAGAUAGAGGAGUGCGGAACUUAGGGUGGAGCGGUGAAAUGCGUUGAUAUCCUAGGGAACACCGGUGGCGAAAGCGGCACUCUGGAUCUCUUCUGACGCUGAGGCACGAAAGCUAGGGUAGCAAACGGGAUUAGAUACCCCGGUAGUCCUAGCCGUAAACUAUGAGCACUGGAUUGAAGACCCCUCCAUAGGUUUUCAGUCGCAGAGAAAUUGUUUAGUGCUCCGCCUGGGGAGUAUGGUCGCAAGGCUG
rnacentral:rRNA from 1 species